GUGCCGCCCCAUCAUUUCGGGGAAAUCAGGCUGUUGUAGAGCUAGCGGCGAAGGGGAAGUACAGGGCGGCUGCUCCUCCCCACCCCCUCCGGCCCGGCGCCGCCGCCCUGGGGCGACCGCGGGCCCGCCCCGUCCGCUCCCACUCCACCCCCGCACCAGCUAGCCUGGGAGAAAGCUGUCCUGGAAAGCCGAACGCCCCCGGCCCGCAGUUACUCCCCUCACUCCGCAUUCUCCCAGCCUGCUCGGUCCUGUGGCCAUCUUCUCACCCUCCUCUCCGGGGAUGCGUGUCUUCUGAGCGCAGCGACAGAGAAAUGAUGUCCGUAAAGCACCGUGCCGCACCUGGGGACAGAGAUGCUGCGCGGUUUUCGAGGUCCCUGCCCAGAGCCUAACAAUGACCGAGAAGCACUUCCCCCUCUUCUGGCUCUACAUCCUUUGGGAUUGCCAUACAGCUGAUCUUAGGGAAAGAGAGGAUUUCAGAGAAGCCCCGACUGCUGAGUUGGGGUAGGACUUGGGUAGCCUUGUUCCUCCUAGCACUCCUGCCUUAGGCCACCUCCACAGCCUCACAGGGCCCUUGCCUGGGAGCGCCUUAGUAGCAGCGUUGGUGUUGCCUGGGGUCCUCAGCGCUGGGCCCAGAGAGGUUCUGGGCAGCAAGGGGGAGGUUGCUUAGGGAUGGCCAAGGCCAUGGAUGUGGCCAAAGAGUUGUGGAACCCAGGUCCCGGUCUCUUGGGAAGGGCAGCUACUUAACCCCCUGUGCUUUAACGUAGACCUUGCCCCACUUGUGCUCCUAGAGACCGGCCUGAGUGUUCAUUUUCCAUUCAGAACUCUGGCCCAGCAGGUUCCUUCCUUCACCUUCCCCAAAGCUGCUGACUCAGAAGUAAAUUGCUCCUCCAGGCGGGGCUGGUCGUGUUAUUCCCCUCAACCCAGCUCUCCCUUCACAGCCUCAGCACCCAGUUGCAAUGGUGCAGGCUAUAAAUAGACACACUGAUGCAGCAUUCCACCUGUCAGUCACUCCACUGCCUCCCUCCCACGGAGGAAAUGGAUGGGUUAAUCCAAUUCUGGUGCACCAGAAUCUGAUGCUGGGACUAACGCGAAGCUUGGUUCCCAAGAGACCUACAAGAAUGGGUCAGAGCUGUCUGCCAGAGAGUGGUGGGUGCACUUGCUUAGAGAGGCAAAGAGGCAGGAGGAACUGCAAGGAAGGAGCCUCGCUGGCUGUUAAGAAAAAUGGAAGGUGCUGAAGCCCAGGAAGGGGGAGAAGGGUUGGGGUGCUUUAAAUGGCAGAUGGAGUGGGAACCCACUACGGAAAUCAAGACCUUCGGAGCGAGAAGAGCAGAAAGCAAGUGGCUCCUGAGUUAUGAAGUCUGUUCUCUGUGCAGCAAAUGGAUGCUGGUCCUGUCUCAAUAGCCACUGGAAAAUUCAAAAUGAGAUCAGGGAAAGGAAGGUUGCAUCUCAUGCGGUCUCAGAAAUUGACCAAAAUGACCCUUUAAAGGCAAUAGUAGGAGCCUGUAAAAAGUGCCUUAAAACAAGAACUUUAUUUUAAUUCACAGAUAAUCAUCUGUAUCUGUAUAUCUUUCCAUGUCAUGAAGUGUACUUGUACAAUAUAAUUGAUAAUGGUAUAUAUUAUUCUCUAAUAAGGAUAAAUAAAAACUUACCAAUUAA